AAUAGAUACCCAGGUAGUCCAUGCCGUAAACGUUGGGCACUAGGUGUGGGGCUCAUUCCACGAGUUCCGUGCCGCAGCUAACGCAUUAAGUGCCCCGCCUGGGGAGUACGGCCGCAAGGCUAAAACUCAAAGGAAUUGACGGGGGCCCGCACAAGCGGCGGAGCAUGCGGAUUAAUUCGAUGCAACGCGAAGAACCUUACCAAGGCUUGACAUGCACCGGAAACACUCAGAGAUGGGUGCCCCGUAAGGUCGGUGCACAGGUGGUGCAUGGUUGUCGUCAGCUCGUGUCGUGAGAUGUUGGGUUAAGUCCCGCAACGAGCGCAACCCUCGUCCUAUGUUGCCAGCGGGUUAUGCCGGGGACUCAUGGGAGACUGCCGGGGUCAACUCGGAGAAGGUGGGAUGACGUCAAAUCAUCAUGCCCCUUAUGUCUUGGGCUUCACGCAUGCUACAAUGGCCGGUACAGAGGGCUGCGAUACCGUAAGGUGGAGCGAAUCCCAAAAAGCCGGUCUCAGUUCGGAUUGGGGUCUG
rnacentral:rRNA from 1 species